CUUUCUGUUUUGAAAUACAUUUAUUUGCACUUCUGUCUUUUUAGUUCUUAACAAACUCACACACAAGGAUUAAACCAAAAACCCAGUACCGCAAGGAUUAAGUUUUUAAAUAUAGACUUACUUACCUCCACCUCUCCAGUAGAUGGGGUUGUAUCAUUGCUUGAAUUUAGAAUUCCGUGGUUAUUAGAGGACUGUAUCGCGUGAAACCAGGCAUGAUGAAUAAAACCAUUAGAAUUUUACUUAAUGUUUUAGAUCUUUGUGUUCUCUGAGUGGUAUAUUCUUUGUUAAAGCCAUUUGUGAACUAAAAUUUUAAGGUAACAGCCAAUCUAGUAACUCCUUUUCCAGGGUAGAUAGCAUCUCACUGGUUGUUUCCAAAUGUGACCUGCUGUUCUAAUGUAGUGACUAUUAUUGGAUGCUUUUUGGUAAUAGGCUCACUUCAGGUUAUUAAUUGUGCUCGUGAUUCUGGGCUCUUUAUGUAAGUAAUCCAUUUUUGUUGAUAAUGAGAAGAAAUAGGGAGAGUGCUAGUAUGUUUGAGACCAGAGGCUUAAAAAGUACCAAGUGUUCUUACUUUAGUCCUCUUUCAUCCAGUCUGUUUGUCUGGCCUUCUGGCUGUAUAAUUUUUUUUUUUUUCCUUCUUAUUUUGAGAUGAGAGCAGUCAAAAUAAAAUACAUACUCACGGGGUCCGCUGAAUUAAAGAGGAACACAAUAAAGGAACAGGACUUAAGGUUUAUGGUGAAUUAGUCAUAGUUUAUAUUAAAGAAUUUAUGAUGUUAAGAUGGACUUUCUGACUGCUUAAAGACACUGCUUUACAAACUGCCAGUAGGUAUUAAUAUCUGAGAGAAAAAAAUGCCAGUUCAUAGUACCAUUAGAGUUGGGAAAGUGACUAUAGAAAUUCCAGAUUCCUACAAGAACCAAAUUCCUACAAGAACCAAAUUCCUACAAGUACCAGAUUCCUACAAGAACCAGAUUCCUACAAGAACCAAAUUCCUACAAGUACCAAAUUCCUACAAGAACCAAAUUCCUACAAGAACCAAAUUCCUACAAGUACCAAAUUCCUACAAGAACCAGAACUGACCCGAUGUGACAGAGGUGAGUGCCUCUCAUGAACAUGGUAAAUAUGUAAAUAUGCUGGGACUGAUUUACAGACUGUUUUAAAAAAAUUAAUGAUAAGCAGCUUUGCGCCACUGUUUCCAUAUAAUACUCAUUUUAACAUAUUAGUGAUUUAAAUUCCUCAUUCAUUAAUAUGGCACUGGGAAUAAUUGGUCGUAUUUAUAUUCAUGAAAAGCCAUAGAAUGUAAAUGUAGCAUAAAGAAAUUCAGCAUGGGCUGGGUAGAUAAUUUAUUGCUAGUUGACGGUCUUCACCCAUAUCGUAGACAAGGGAAUGAAUAUUAUCUUGGGGGAUUUGUCAGGACCUCUGCUCCCAAGUCUGAUUUUGUACAUUUUGCCAAUGAGCACGGAGAGGUGAUGAGGGGUAGUUUGAAGAAAACAGAAUUUGAAAUCAGAACACUUAACGAUUGUGGGUGAUUUAAGCUCUUAGAUAUUUAUUAGUCUCAUCAAUAAAGUGGAGGUGAUAAUGCCUUAUAGAAUUUUUAGGAAUAAUUAAGAGUAUGGACUCAUUUAUUCAUGCAACAAAUACUGAGUUCCUGUGGCACAGUGGCUAAAGCGCUUGGCUGCUGUCCGAAAGGCUGGCGGUUUGAACCCAUCAGCUGCUCCACGGGAGAAAGAUGUGACAGUCUGCUUCCAUAAAGAUUACAGCCUUGGAAACCCUAUCGGGCAGUUCCACCCUGACCUGUAUGGUCACUAUAAGUCAGAAUCAACUUGAUGGCAACUGGUUAUCACUGUGCCAGACAUUGUGCUAGGUAACAAAUAAAUGUUCCUUUUCUUUGGAGGACAGUGUUGGUGUGCUGAUCACUUUUUCAAAUCAUUCAGUGUUGUGAGGGAGCUGUGGAGUGGCAUAAUUGGGACUUGGGAUCAGAGUUAAGGUGGAACAAGAUAACCAAAUGGAAUCAAAUGGAAGUUUAACAGCAGAAAUGCAAAGUUUUGCAUACAUGAAUUCUGCAGUUAAAACGUGGAGGCGCUGUGUGUAACGGCAGCUUGCUGGGAGCACACAGCACUUGAAACAGACUCUGCUGAAUCUAAGUCAGCAGUGGCCGGUGUCCCUACAGCCUCGGGCAGCAUUUCCCACAGUAAAGUGCCCUCAGUGAGUUAGGGAAGAGAGUCCCACUAUCUCAGGACAGCUAAGAGGUUUUCGGUUUUGAGGCACACUUUGAAAGGGUGUCCAUGCAUUGGAGUAGGACGGCGGGGAUUUGAAGUCUUGUAACAGGGAAUGCAUGAAGGAAAUAGGGCUGUUUAGAUAGGAGACAAGACUGUGGACAGGACAGAGCCGGGAGAAGGGUUUAUGAGGUCACUGUCUGCAAAUAUUUGCUUAACGGUCAUGUGAAAGAUGAUCUGAGGGACAGAAAAGGGCUGAACUGUUGAAGGCUCCAGGAGGCAGAUACUUGACACAAUCUUAAAGAAGAUCUAAUCGUUAUAGAGUUGCCUAAACAUGACAUGGGUUGCCUUGGGAAAGUAGUGAUGAGAAUCCCUGUGAUGAGACUAUCUUGAUUUCAACUAUUGAUACAUACUCACUCUUUGAUCGCUCGAGGUAGUUGAUUAUAAAGUUCACUAUAAUCAUUAUUUGUGAUUCUCCUAUUUUACCUAUAUUGUACAUGUAGAAUUUAUUGAAUUGGUGUAUGUUCUGCUGUGUAUAUUCUCAACAACAAAAAUCAGUAAAAAAAAAAAAAAAGUAAAGGUCCUUUUCUUUUUCUUUGACCCUGUAUUGAAAAGGGAAGCUCUGUAUUACCAGAUUGACAUGAGGUAGCUAAGCAUAUAAAGUUUUUGCUCCUAAAAUAUCAUGGCUGUUUCUAAAUGUGACAGGUUAUUCUAAUAUAGUGACUUUUAGGGAAUUUUUUUUGAUAAGAUGCUCACUUCAGGUUAUCAUAUUAACUGUGCAGAUGAUUCUGGGCUCUUUAUAUAAGCAAUCCAUAUUUGUUAAAAAUAAUGUAGAUUAAAAAACAAAACCCUGUUAGCAGUUGUAAUUUUUUUCGUACACUCUCCGAGAACAGCAGCUCUAAACUAGUUCUUUGGGACACUAAUAUACUGAUCACUGGUGAGACAUCCAUGGCCUUGAAUUAAGAUAAUUGGCGCAGUGAAGGAAAGUUCAAGGAUGAUUUGCUCCUUUUCAAGUUAGAGGGGGUUCAUAUCAUAUAUUUGCCUCUUGUGUGCAGAGAAGUGGGUGGGAUUGCAGACAUCUGGGUGAGAAUGGUGCCUCACCCCUGUGAACAGCCCUGGGAGAGAGUGGAGGUGGAAGGAGGCCUGCGAAGUAUUUGGUGCAGUUAUAAUUCCUAUUGAGUAGGGAUUGAUUACUGUGUAGGGGGAUCAGCUCUAGUGAUCAUCUUGUAGUAAGAUUCCAUGAGAUCGAAAUGAAAAGAUCACUAGAAAACUAAAAAAUGACCCAGAUGAUACCAGUACGUUGAACCCAGCCUGAUAGUAACUAGUCCAUUUUGGUGGGAAAUCCUUUGAAAUAGACACAGCAGUUUUUGAUCACUAGGCUGCUGCCGGCAGUUAGUAAUAGGGUUUGUACAUACAGAAAACCUCAGCCCUUAGUGAUUUUUAGUAACUACUUGUCUCUAGUUCGUUGGGACUGCGAUGCUGUCUGUACUGGUUUCCAAAGGCACUUUUUCAGCUAGUUCCAAGGUGGCCUAAGAUGCCAUGACUGAGCUCACAGGUGGCCCACAGCCAGGCAGGCAGAGCUGCCAUCCCUGCCUCUCAGCCAUUUCCCCUGGCUUUCCAUUGUACUCCAUGCUCAUGAGAGAACACUGGUGGUUUGCAGAAAAUUUAGUUCUCAAUGUAGAAGGUGUGAUUCUUUGAAGUAAAAGAAUCACGCACAGACUCCCAGAGACUUUUGACGCCCCAGACAAAGGCUGACGGUAUUGCUUAGUUGCGCUAUUCAUAAAACAUUUAUUAAAUUGCUCUAAAGUGCCAACAGAGUUUUCUGGGCAUGUGUAGGGGGAAGUCACAGCCAGGUUUCACAUGGACAGUUUGUCUGUAGCUACAGUAAAAGCUGCGAAAGCCGGGACCUGUGUAAGGCGGGAACCUGUCAGAGAAGGAAAACUCCCAUAUUUUCCAUUAACAGAGAGGGACAGAAAAUUUGUAAGCUGUACCCUGGCAGAGGCAGAAAACUUGCGAGAUCCAGAAGAGUGAAGCAGUCCCGUGGAGCUGCAGCUCUCACAGGUUUCACUGUGUAAGAACAAUGGGAGAUGCCUCUGGUGAGGAUGGAGCCCAUGCUGCUUCUACAGGGAGACUUCAUUCCAGGUCUUGGCCGUUUACUUGUUGUGUCACCUCAGGCAGCCGCCCUUAGCUGUGGGGCCCGUGAUCUGUGCAAGUGACGGAAGCGCUCUUAGAAAAAGCGUACCAUGUAAAAUCUUAGGUACAACUUUAUUUUCACAAGUGAAGUGAGCCUUGUUAAUUUAUUAUAGAAAUAAGAAUUCCUGCUGCCUGUAGUUGUUAAAACAGUCUUGGGUUGGAAAAAUCUGUUGUUCUGGCUAGUAGUUAAGAAUGCCUAAGAUUUCAAACAGCAGAAGUUCACAGUAAUUACGUUGCAGUGUUCUUGGUAUUCCUCAUGCUAUUAUCUGUCUUAGACCACUCCAGAGUUCUUUGUUUUCUUUUCCUUUUGGUCAAAGUGUAGAAAAGUGUGACUUGCUGUUCACAACUGCUUGCUUUUACUCAGCUAGUAUUUAUUUCAAGGGACGAUUCCUGCCUGGGUCGUCACCAGUAGGGAAGGUUGAUCUUUCCCUUUUCCCACAUAAGCCUGAAUAAGGAAGAUUCCAGAGGAGAAGAGUGGCCAGAAAUCUAUUGGAAACUUGAUAGACUUGACUUUUUUGGUUCUUGUUUUAUGUUUGAGGAUAGUUUCAUUUUUUUUUUUUUUAUUGAAAUGCAAAGUUUGCAAAGGAUUGUCUUAAACUGGGAAAUAAAAGAAUGGGGUUUGUCCCUGUAUAUGUAAAACCAAAAAGGAAGCAGCAGAGAAAGCAUCAUUUUCCUGGGGCAUUAGAUUUGGAAAGAAAUAAUAGAGUUCAUCCAGUCCAGCCUCCCACUGGUGAAUAAACACUCAUUUUGUGUUUAUAGAAAAAACUAUUUGAAGUUGGAAACAGGAAUUCGCAUUCAAAAAUACUUUGUUGCCUAAUUAUUUUUUGCUUUGUCUAUUAAAGAAUUUUUUUCUAGUGAAAUUAUAUCUAAGCCUUUAUUAUAUAUACAAAAUUAAAUAUAUUUGCAUUUAUGAAUUAUUUAGGCCCUUCAUAGUUUUUUAUACCAUUGAAUGGGUCGUCGGUAGAGAGGGAGUGUUUUUACUUAGAUCUGAAACCAUUCAAAUGAAUAGUUGAUUUUUCAGUCACUUUCUUAUUAUUAUGCAGGGUAGCUUUAAAAUAACUUUUGCAUCUUCUCCCCAAAAUACCGCCCUGCAGGUUCUGCUAGUGCUGGAGCUUACCCAUGUGUUCUGAUUACUUUCUGCCAAAAAUGUCUGAGCCUGUGUGUGUUUGGGUGUCGUGUUCAAAUGAUUUUAAGGUUACAUAUAAUCUAUAAUUUGUUGUUUUUCCUGUGAAUUUUUGUUCUUAGCUGUUACCCCAGUUUUGUAGUAUAAAGGACUAAAGACAUGAUUGUUUGCCUUGAAAAAAGUAGUAGUCAUUAAACAUUGUGAAAUUAAAAGGUUGUUGACUAAAUAUUAUGACAUGGUCUUUCCCGCUAGAGAGCUAGAUGUGAGGCUAAACCGUUAUUCAAGGUUUAUGGUUGAUUUUUCUUAGAGUUCAGGUGUGUUAAACUUCACUGUCUGUCUGCCUUCUACGUUCAUUACUAGAAUCCUACCAUCUCCUUGUAAAUUCACCAACAAUGGAUCUCUAUGUUGAAUUUAAUUGAUUUUAGCAGAUAACCAUAGAUACAAUCUUUGUAAAGUAGAAUCUUGUAUUUCCAGAAUGUGUAUUGUUGGCUUAGCCAUUUUUUGUGGACAUAGGUACGAUUACUCUGAUGUGAUCAGAGAGAUGUAAUCAAAGUUGGGGGAAAAAAACCCAUGAGAUACGAUAAAGAAAAGAUAGGUGUAUAACUACCUGGGUAUAUUUAAUACAUUAAAAAAGAAGGGUGCCAUGGGUAAGUCUUACUCUGUCAGUCCUGUUUCAGAGAUCUGAAAAUUGUCAAUGCUUUGUCCAUUGAUAUGUAUAUCCAGGUCAGUCCUGUUUGGGCUCUUAGAGACCAGAGGAUUUGCAAGUUGAGGGAUUGUCUUGUCAAAAUUCUCCAUCUUGAUUUGAUAUUCACCUUUGGAACCUCGGGCCAACAGAGGUGCAAAACAGUGAUGUAACAUGAUCUCAGAGGGUAGGUAGGAUGUCCUCCUUUGGCAUAUUUCUCCAGUGCCUUCCUGCAUUGCUGAAAGGAACACGACUAGUUCAAAGUGGGGAGGAUUUUCAUGCUGGAGCAGAGUAGCCAGAGGACUCGAUGAUGUAAUGGAGUGGUAGUAGGUCAGUGGAAAGAUAAAGAACGGACAUUCCUCGGAACCGAUGCCGUCAAGGUGGAAAUCCACACUGGUCUGGUAGAGCUCACCAUUUUCUCUUUCCUGAUAGAGUACAGCUGAGACCCGAACACUAGUUAGAGGGCUAGGUCGAAUGUUGGCCACUUGGAAAAUAAGAUUGGGUUUGCCAUCUCUGUGAGCUAAUACUGCUAAGUGAGUAAAGCGAAUUGAGAAAGCUCGAUUUUUUGGCCGGGCAAUCUUCGCCACAAAGGCACCUAAAUUAGAAACCAUUGAAUUUUUUUUAGAAUGUUGACUAUAAAUAUCAAUACCUUUUCUGAACAAGAAGGGUAUAUCAAAUAGUUAAACAUUUCUUAGGUGCCAUGACUUCUAAAUGAGUAGGGAAUUGAACGCAUGGUUUGUUAAUUGGGGUUGUCUCAUUUUGCCUGGAGAAUUUUUCAAAAUAUACGUACAUUCUUACUUUAAAAACCAUGAUUUCAAAAUGGACAGGCAUAAUUCAUCUUGUUACAUGAAAAUGUAAAUAAAACCAUAUCCUCCACUUUCUUACAGAGUCAAAAGAAUUGGUUAUUUCCUAUAUUCCUAUCUCUGCCUUUUUUUUUCCUUUUAAUGCAAUGGAAAAUAAAUAUAGGUUAAUUACAACCAGAUUAUUUCAAGUUGCAGUAGAGACUAGAUUCAGAGUAGAAUGUUUUGGGGGGUGAGAAGAGGGCUAGUGGAAUGAGUGACAUGUUGGACAAUUUUUUAACUUCGAAUCUUAAUAUAAACCUUUCUUUUUUUUUCUUAGAAGGCACUGGCUGCAUAAGGUGAUUUCAGUGUAUCUUUUAGGUGUAUCUUCCCUGUGCCCCAAACUACAGAUUGUGCCACAGAUGCUGUUGACAGGCUGGUGAGGCCAAUGGACCUCUUCUCAGAAUUAUGUUUUAAAAGUAUAAAAAUAAAUCCCCAAGAUUCAGUGGAAACCAAAAUGUAUUAAAAUACAGUUGAACAUUUAAAAUGUUUUCUAAGUAUUCUAUAUGCCUUAUUAACACAUUAAAUGACAAAACCUAGUGGCAGGUAUAAUACUGUAAUUUUGAAGUAUUAUAGCAUGAUACGAAAAUAUCUGUGAUUUUUGUUUGUAUCAAAGUUGUAGAUACUGCUGAUGCUACUGCUUUUGUUGCCUACAUUCAUUAUCAAAGGAAAUGCCAAAUUUCAGGUAGAGGUUAGGGUUAGUGAAAAAGGAUUUAAGAUUUCCCAUCUAAGUUCACAGACCCCACUGAUUUUAUCCAUGAACUGGCCCAGUUUAAGAACUCUUGUUCUAGAAAUUCAGUGAUUUCUUGCAGGUUGUAGAGCCAGUGGGUAGCACGCUGGGACUUGAUCCCAGAGUACCCUUCAGAUGGCCCGAUGCCUGCCUUCUCAGAUUAUUGGAUAGUAUGUUAAAACCAGGUUUUCUUUGUUUUGUUUUAAUUGUAUCAGUUAUUAAAAAUGACACUAAACCUACCACUUUAUUAGGGAAAGGAGUCUUAUUUGUUACCAGGUUUAUAAGCAAAAUUUCAUAAUCCUUGUAGCCAUGUUUCCAAGUGUAUUUUGUUAAGAAUGUGUAACCUUAAUUUUUUCUCUAACAUAAUGCUGACUGUGGUGCCCUGGGCUCAGUGGUAUUGAGUAAACGUGGAAAAGAUAAAUCCAGAGGAGAAAAUUCUACCCCAGUGAAGAAAAAAAAUACUAAAUUUCUCCCAUUAGGUAAAAUGACUGUCAAAAUAGGCACUGAAUGUAUUUAUACACUUAUUUAACAAAAAGUUUUAUUUCUCUGAAAAACUUCCUUUAGCGUUCUCCCUAAUACUUUUUGGCAUAGCAUGUUCCUGCCAGCCAGUGUCCUAGUCGUCCCUUUUUUUCUUAAAAAGUUCCAGUAGGUAGAACCUAAGUUUAUAGUCAGGUCCCUUAUGAUUUCUUCUGUUGUUUGGCCCUGGACGCCCUCAGCUCUGUCUCAGGCCUUGCCUACUGAUAACGCAAAUCAAUCACCCCAUAACAGAAUCGCUGAUAACCAACUACCCUUUCCAAAACACUUGCUGUUUUUUUUUUUUUUUAAAGAACAAAGACGAUUACCUGUGAUAAAAGCCUCUAGCAUGAGGCCUAGGAGCAUUUGUAUGGCCAGUAAGGCGAUUGCACUUGGACAGUCACCACUGGGGAACAUGGUACCAUAACCAAUUGUGGGGCGUCGUGAUCUAGUCCCAGAUCACCAUUCAUCUCCGCUAGGACAUACCAGAGCACUGCAAAGACAAGCCAGUGGACAAGAAAAGAAGCUGAAAAGACCAGCAUCAUCCAGCGCCAGCGCAUGUCCAUCAGGAUUCCCCAGGCAUCUCGAAGAUACGCAAGGCUCCUUUGAGCACCAUCCAUUUGAAGUGUGCUGUGGCCAUCCUUGGUGACCAUCCUCCGGUAUCUCUGAGUUAGGAGAGGGGCAAUAACUUUGCAGUUACUGCCAUCCAUCUUAGGCUGGAAUUCUCUGAAAUCAAGAGUAAAUUAGUAAGCCCUUACCUGUUUUACAGUUAUAAUUCCUAAAUUCGGAGACCUCACUCAUGUUCUGCUUUGUGCCUAAAGCUUCCCUGACUAUAACUUGGGAAGGCUUUCUCAGUCUGAUAGCUUGCUCUCUCUUUCUCUGUACAUAAGGGGCCAUUUAUUAAGUACUUUUCCUUUGAAUAACUGUUAAAAUAGUUUGACAUUUUAAUGUUUUCCAAGUAUAUCUUAAAGUUCCUGAGGGUGGUGAUUGGUUCAUGCCCGUUUGAUGCCACCAUA